rnacentral:rRNA from 1 species
UUCUGGCUCAGGACGAACGCUGGCGGCGUGCCUAACACAUGCAAGUCGAACGGACGAGGGGAGCUUGCUCCCCAAGUUAGUGGCGACGGGUGAGUAACACGUGAGCAACCUGCCCUUCGAGGGGACAACAGCUGGAAACGGCUGCUAAUACCGCAUGACACAGCGGGGAGGCAUCUCCCUGCUGUCAAAGAUUUUAUCGCCGAAGGAUGGGCUCGCGUCUGAUUAGAUAGUUGGUGAGGUAACGGCCCACCAAGUCAACGAUCAGUAGCCGGACUGAGAGGUUGAACGGCCACAUUGGGACUGAGAUACGGCCCAGACUCCUACGGGAGGCAGCAGUGGGGAAUAUUGGGCAAUGGGGGGCAACCCUGACCCAGCAACGCCGCGUGAAGGAAGAAGGCUUUCGGGUUGUAAACUUCUUUGACGAGGGACGAUAGUGACGGUACCCCGAAAACAAGCCACGGCUAACUACGUGCCAGCAGCUGC